rnacentral:rRNA from 1 species
UGAGGAAUAUUGGUCAAUGGGCGAGAGCCUGAACCAGCCAAGUAGCGUGAAGGAUGACUGCCCUAUGGGUUGUAAACUUCUUUUAUAAAGGAAUAAAGUCGGGUAUGUAUACCCGUUUGCAUGUACUUUAUGAAUAAGGAUCGGCUAACUCCGUGCCAGCAGCCGCGGUAAUACGGAGGAUCCGAGCGUUAUCCGGAUUUAUUGGGUUUAAAGGGAGCGUAGAUGGAUGUUUAAGUCAGUUGUGAAAGUUUGCGGCUCAACCGUAAAAUUGCAGUUGAUACUGGAUAUCUUGAGUGCAGUUGAGGCAGGCGGAAUUCGUGGUGUAGCGGUGAAAUGCUCAGAUAUCACGAGGAACUCCGAUUGCGAAGGCAGCCUGCUAAGCUGCAACUGACAUUGAGGCUCGAAAGUGUGGGUAUCAAACA